CUGCAGAAGGGGAUAUGAAAGUGUUGAACUCUGUACCAUGUGUUGUGCAAAGAUGUGAAAACACCUAUGUUCCUUAAAAAUAAUGCCAUACAUAUGCAAAAAAUUAUGAAAAUAAUCAUGUUCCUCUUUUGUAAAGGUCAACCGAAAGUAUUGCAAAAGUGACCGUUGCUGAGGUAGCAGAUAUGGAUGACUAUGCAUAAUCAUGAAAUAAAAGAGUGCUGUUGGAGAGGAACUGGCAGAGAGGGACUGACCGAGUACUCGAGAAGUUCUCCUCAGCCAUUCUCUCCUUGUGCAAGUAAAACGUCUUUUGGUCUCUUCUGUGUUCCUGAAUCCUCCGAGUUUGUUAAAUAUGUCCACUUGAACCUGACAAACUUGUUAUCGCGUGAUUGCACGUGAAUCUGCAGGUUCUUGUGAGUUCUCACAGUUCCUGCUGUCCAUAAUUCACCAAGAAAUUUACCUCACAAACAGAUCCGUUAAGAAUUGGCGUAAAAUCGCCACUGUUACAGAUUUAAGCCAUUCCGAAUGUGGUGGAAAUCCAGGGUCUACCUUGGGUAGUGAAUCCAAAAACACCAUUAGCUUCACAAAUCCUCCAUCGAUCUUUACAUCUAAAGUUAAAAUCUGUUUUUCUCGCAGUUCAAACACCAAGACCUGUUAAUGAUGAUCUUCAACCGCCUCUCUGUUUCCUCUCUCUGUUUCCUCUCUCAGUUUCGGUCCUGCUGUUGGUAAAGGUUACUGUCUUCACAGGCAGAGCGUUGAGGGAUGAACUCUGAGGGUUUUUUUUUUAGGAGGGACGUGGGCUGCAGUUUAUUUGAAAUGUAGAUUCUGCGCCGCGUCUGUAUCGCUUUCAUCCUGUCCAUGAAAAAUGCAUGCUGUGAUCUCAUUAUACCGCUCUUCUCUUGGAACACUACAUAAAAUCAAUCCAGGCCAGAGGAGGGGUGAGAACACUACAGAUGCUUCUUCGCUUUUCACAAUGGCUGAAAAGAGGCCCUACAAGUGGGAGGAGAAGUGUUUUUCAUGUGUGUAAAACGCACAAAAUUAGAGAUCGAGCUGCUUGAUUUAACAUCUUUGAGGCAGCUACAAGUUGUAUUUGUGGACUACACUUCAGACUAAAGGAUCAGGUCUUAAUUUAUGAGUUCUCACCUGCAGGGCUGAGGCCCAGAAGUGGGACAUCGAACCAUUUCAAUGGGUCGCUGUAGUAAAGAUCCUAAAGGAGAUCUGUUCAACUCGUUUUUAUCAAUCAUUGUGUCAGCAUGUGAAGGAGGCAUGGUCAGCUAGAAAAUACUUUAAAAACUCUUCCAAUGUAACUUAAGGGAGGUCAGUUAAGAGACCUUCAGAACCAGAGCUUGGUCUACAGAUCCAGUAGUAAGUCGGACUUGUUUCGGUGAGGGUUGGACUCCACUAGGGCUGAUCUUUGUCACCGAUCCUCCUCAGAACUUUCAUGGACAGAAUUUCUGGGUUCAGCAAGGGUGUUGAGGAGGUCCUCUUUGGUGGUCUCAGGACUGGGUCACUGCUUUUUGCAGAUGAUGUGGUCCUGUUGGUGGCACCAGGCCAUGACCUUCGGUUCGCAACCGAGAGUGAAAUGACUGGGAUGAGAAUGAGCACCUCCACAUCGCUGGAUAAAGGUGGAGUGGCCUCUUUGGGUCAGGGGUGAGAUCCUGCCCCAGGUAGAAGAGUCCAAGUAUCUCUGGGUUUUGUUCACGAAUGAGGAAAGAAUGGAGCAGAAGAUCUACAGGUGGAUUGGUGCAGCUGCUCAGGUCUGUCGUGGUGAAGAAGGAGCUGAGCCAAAAGGUAAAUCUCUGGAUAUACCGAUUGAUCUACUUUCCUACCCUCACCUACGGUCAGGGGCUUUGGAUAGUGACCAUAAGAACAAGAUCUCGGGUACAAGCCGCCGAAAUGAGUUUCCUCCACAGAGUGGCUCUCCAUCAGAGAUAGAGUGAGAAGCUCAGUCCUCCAGGGGAACUCAGAGUCGAGCUGCUGCUCCUUUGUGUCGAGAGUCAGAUGAGGUGGCUUGAGCAGCUGACCAGGAUGCCUCCCGGAUGCCUGGCUGGUGAGGUGUUCAGGGCUUGUCCCACCGGUAGGAGACCAGGGGAAACACCCAGGACACGCUAGAGAAAGUGGGGCUUCCUGCUUCGGCUGCUGCCCCCUCGACCCGUCUCUGGAUAAGUCAUAGAAGACGGAUGGACAGUUAAAAGACAACAGUCAGCUGCUGUGCUGGAAAACACAGGAGUCCUCCUUAUGGAUCCUGUUUCUUCAGAGUUGUUGCUGAGUGAAGUUUAAAUAUCGCUCAGAAAUGUGUGGUCUAAUGUAAGUAAGUCUCCUGUUGGUAUGUGACAAAUGCACCACAGAUGGAUUCAUGAAAAAUGAAGGUUUCAACAAGAAUCACUCUUAAAAGUUCAAACUCUGAACAGCACAGUUUCUAUCCAGUCAGUUCAAAAUGCUUCAGCUGAUAAAAUUCAACUUUAUUCUUUUUAUUUAAUCCAGUAUUCAGCGCUUCAGAAUCAAACAAUUUUAGUUACAAUCAAUCGUAGCCAAAGGUCAUGACGUAGAAAGGCUGACAUCUUCUCCCCUCGUCUGGGACAGUUUUUAACGCUUUCUGCAUUUCAGUUUUUCCCGUUUUCAGGGUUAUUGUGCUUCACGUCACUUUAAGUUCCACAAAAAUCUGACAAUAUCAUCCUUUUAGCCUGCAGCGUUAGUAACUGGUGCACAAAUUGCCAGUAUGUCUGAGUCUGUCACUGUAGGAGGAAUAUAGAAAUAUAAAUAUAGAGUGCUUAUCUUCUCCUCCCUGGAGAAAACUCGCCUGUCAUUUACUUCACAAUAAGAGUUUUCCGCUUUUUUUUUUCUCCGGGGGAUUUUGUCGUUGCUGAAUAAGCAGCAGGUGGGUAGAUAUACAUGUAGCUGCAGUUUAACCAAUUACAGUAAUGAUGGGUGAGGGCCGGGUCUCAUUUCCCUCCGUAAUGAGCUGAAGUCAGCGACGCCUCGCCACGCACGCCGAAUACCAACCGCACACCUGACUCCUAGUCCAGCUGAGCGUGUGAGUUCAGGUUCAGGAGCAGGGGCGAGGGGUCUCUAAUGUUAAAUGCACUGUAGCACAUAUUUAUUUCAGUUAUGGUUGCCAUAGGAACCAGUGACCAAAGGUCUAACAGGAGCUGCGCCCUUGGCCCCCCAGAGAUGAAUGGCCCCGUUCAGCCCGCGACCGCUCGAUUGAUGUCCCCUUCCUCCUUCACGUCAAUACAGGCACAGCUGUCUGUACUGUCCUCACUGUUAGAUUGAUGCAGUCCUCAUCCCUCACCAUCACUAUCAAGGACUCUGGGGCUUUAAAAUGGGAAGUGAAACCAUCACAGCUGGUCCAAACUGGUCUGAAUCGGUUUCAGGAAGCGGCUGCAGCCUUGCUUUUAAAAUGAAGGAGCGUAUCACGGCUGUUUUUGACCUAUAGACAGGAUGUUAAAUCCACAUAUCAGGGCCCCUGACCCUGAACCAGACCACCCACAGUGACCUCUGUGAGGCUCAACCAAGCCAUGGUUUAAGUAUUUUGUUAUUUUCAGACUUCAUACUCAUAAACAUGAACCCCUUCCCUCCUGAGCCGUGUUCAGACCCAGGUAAAGGUUGACCUCUCCGAGAACCAAGGCUGUAAAUCCACAAUCCUUUCUUUUGGUGCCACCGAAGCCUCUUCACGUGAAAGAAGACACCGCCGCGGCCUCGACCUGCACGCUCUGACUAUUGAACAGGCCGGUGGAAAUGUCAGGGGACGCAUGAUCAGUCGCUGGCAUUUAAUAAACAGCAGGUUCAUAGAGGAUGGAGUUUUGUUUAAGUCAACAUCCUUAAAGGGGAGGGAUCGACUGAAGUGUAUGAGGUCGUUGUUCAUAGUCAGUGUUUCAUCAGUUUGACCCUUUUUUUAAAAAUAGAUAUAAGUGGAAAAAAUCAGCGGUUGGCAGGUUUGAAUGAAAAAUUAAAGGCAGGACCCGAGAGCAGAAAUCAAAGUUUUUGACUAAACUUGAAAAAACUAAAAUUUACCUUGACUGUCUCCUCACACCAAACGCGAGUAAAAUCAUUCGCGAAGACGCAAAUUGCGCGGGAGCUGAAAAUAUCUCAACUUGAGCAGAUAUUUGCGUCGCGAUAACUAAUCAGCACGAAGGUUGCCAGAUGAUGUAUGAAAACGGCCGGUUGUUCACUGGUAUCUAAAUUGGAGGACAAACUGAUCGGGUGCCCGGAAUUAUAUGAUACCUUUUCUUUCAGUUAUCGAAACCGGAAUAAAAAGGAGCAAGUGAAUGAGGAGGUAGGCUUACCUGGUAAAUUGUAAAAAAACUUUGUCUAUCACUUGAUCCCGCUGGUUGAAUUGGCGGGUAGAUGAUUUUACUCGCGCUUGGUGUGAGCGCCCCAUUACACUGAUGUUAUCUCCCUAGGCUAUAUAGUUCAGCUCUAGACCCAGUCCCUCUUAGAACUGAAGACGUCUUCUGGAGAAGAGGCAAAAUGUCUUCCAGAUAACCCAAGAAGUCCAGUUGCCAUUUUAGAAGACUUCCCCGAUGAAUGAAACAGGAAAUUUAGUCCGGAUUGAAAUUUUACGGUACUCUAUCGUAAUUAUCAUGUGGGGUAUUUUUUAUUGAAUAGUUAUAAACACAGAAGAGACACUUGACUGACACUGCUGAGUUUAACAUCUGUAGUUGGUGAGACAGAAAAAGGCCCGUAUGUGAGACCUAAAAAAACGCCACUUCCAAGAGAUCGACAGGAGAGUGUCAGAGUGUUCCUGAAAACACAAGGUCCUCUGUCAGCACAUAAUGAAAUAAUCGUGAUAAUUGCAGCCUAAAGAAGGACCCCAGAAACAUCCUACAUGUUCUUUGAAACCCCUGAUUAUGAUAUUUGUCGGGAUCAUUUGUGCGAGCAUACUUUGAAACAAAGGCUAUAAUUUGCGGAUGAGCGAGCAUGUAGCACGGGCUCGUAAUGAUUGGAUAAUUGGAUGAUUCAGGAUUACAAUGAGUUUAAUUUUCAUUGUAACACGAGAGGAAACGAGUCAGGUGGUCGAGUCAGUCCACGGAUUCCUCUGUGGAAGUGAGCUAUCUCCUCUCCAGCAGCCACCUCUCGCCUGCUGUAAUUUUCCGUCUGAUUGUUCCAGUAAUUAAAUUGGCCACGCCGUCUGUCGGCGGUGACAGACAAAGAUCAAAGCCCCGUGGAUCAGAACACGGCGUGCCGACAAGAAACCCAGACGCACAAAAAAAAGAAAAGGGAAGGACGGCAGUGAGGAUGUAGAGGAGUGAAGGAAAGCUGAGACGAUGGGGACAAACGGAAAUUAAAUUAGACGAUGCGGCACUGACGAAGCAUUUGGUUGAAACAGAAUAAGGUGAGAACGACCGCGGUGAAUGUGAGAGGCAUUUAAUAACACAACUUUGAACAACAGAGGAGGGAACCACUCGAACCUUUGACUAAUAAUGUAAUAAAAGGCCCUCAGAGGUGGGAUCGAUUGUUUCCCUCUGAAACUGAGACGGACGAUUCAAACAAAGUCAGUGUGCGUCUUCUGUUUCAGAGCCUGAUCAUGUUUUUUUUUAGUUUCCUUUUGUUCAAACAUCUGACAUAAACUGAAACCAGAAGUAAAGAUGAUUUUAAAAUUAUCUGUUUUAUUCUGAGUCCAAAUAUCCGUCGGUCAGAUUCCCCAAGGAGUCCAUUGUUAGAAGCUUACAGAUGGUAUGAACACCAGAAAUGUCCGAUAUAUUGAUUAAUUGAGCUGUUUAUCAAUUCGGUUCACAGUAACAUGAACCCAGUAAUUUAAAACAGCUGGUCUCAUCACUACCUGACAAACUUCCUAACCCUCAUACAAACCACAGUAAACCAAAACAAAUCCAUGUUUAAUCAGUAAAAACUCUAUUGUCCGAUAUUUGCACGCAAAAAUUUCAAAGCCAACAACACGAUAAUCACAGAGGUCAAAGGUCGUAUGCAAUCACUGAUGCAAAAUGGACUGCAGCCUCUCAGUUUCUACUCUCAGUAUGCUUGUAGUGAUCAGAGUGGGCGGGGAUUAGACUAUGUUAUAUUAGACUAUGUUAAUUAGAUGCUGUUCUGAUUGGCUGCCUGAUUAUUCUCCAAAGGGUAUAGGUGCAGACGAACGCAGAGGUGGAAUAACACCGAAACAAAUUUGGCGAGCGCUCCAGGAGAACCUAUCAAAGUUUUUAAAGUAUAAGCUGUUUUUGCCCAGUUUGUUAGCUACAGAAACAGGAAGGAGGAUUAAAUCAGAUAAUAUAUUUUGAAUGUAACCCCAAAUUACCGCUUAUACCAGCGUCCCCGAGCGUGAGUGCAGCAGUGAUUCCAGUCCCACCCUGCGCAUAGAAAAAUGAACGAGGUCGCGGAUAAAUGUGCUUUGAUUGGCUCAGGCGUGGAUGGGCCUUUUUGAUGGAUGGAAGCCCAGACCCUAACCCUAACCUUAAAGGGAUAUUCCGGCGAAUUUAGGGUCAGAGUUAGACCCCCCCUCAACAGAUGAAUGUUGUCGACCGCUUGCUUCUCUAGUUAUACCAACUUUAGUAACGACCGCAGGAUAGCAAUACAGAGAGCCACGCCCUCAACUAAAACACCACUCUAUAGCCACAAAAAAUGCUCAGAACAGCACCUAACUUCAUCAACAGGACAUAGAGGGUCACAGCCAUAGUACUAGACACCAAACGUCUUUUUAACUUUGACUAAAUUCUUUAGCAGAGAGACUAAACACAACUCACCUACUCUCUUCCAGCAGCCGCUUGUUUGUAUAUGUCCUGUUGAUGAAGUUAGGUGCUGUUCUGAGCAUUAUUUGUGGCUAUAGAGUGGCGUUUUGGUUGAGCGUCUCUGUGUUGCUAUCCUGUGGUCUUUACUAAAGUUGGUAUAACUAGAGAAGCAAGCAGUCGGCAACAUCCACCCCUCGACGGGGUGUCUAACUCUGUGUUACGGUGUGUUUGACCCUAACUUAAUUUUUCGCCGGAAUAUUCCUUUAACCCUAACCUUAACCCCUUCGGUAUCACCUGAAUGCUAAACAUGUUGCAGCUAGCGUGGAAGCUAAUGCCAGUCCGACUCCGAGUACAGCGACCCACACUCGACCAGAUGAGUGGAUUCAGAGCUAAGAUGAGUAAGUCCACGUCAGAAAAAUUAACAUCCUGAAAUUGCUGGACUCUAUUAUGGCAUAAAAAAACGCUGAUCUGUUGGUCUUGGUUAAGUAUCAUCUUUAAAAAAAUUUAACAUUUAAAAAGUAAUGAUUCUCACUGUUCUCAGAUCAAAUAUUUACAUGCAAUUAAAAUGCGAUUAAUUGCAAUUAAUUCACCACAAACCUCUGAUUAGUUUGAUGAAUGUUUUUAAUCGGGUCACAGCCCGACUAUAAAAUGAAAACAGAAAUGGCGAGUUGAGCAGCAACCAGAGGGGACGGGGUAAGAAAUGCUCUCUCUUCCAACGACAGACUCAUUUGCAAAUUCCCAGAGGACAGAGGUUAUGAUCAGGAUUUAUCAAAACUGUCACAACCCCCCCAGCCACCAGAAGUGGCUAUUUUUCCUGUCAGGAUGAAAUUGAAAUGCACAAACUGUCGCUCAAUCAGGAUACAUGCCAGCGGAGUACGAGGACUUCUGCAGAAAUAAACCCUCAGAAAUAACCUCAGCAAAUGAGAAGCUGCAGAGAUUGUUCCAGUCCGUGGAGCUGUGGUGGAUAAUAAACCUCGGAGGAGUCAUGAGCUCAGACCACAGUCUCCACAAAACCAGCUAUAUUAAGAGAUGUGGGCAUAAACUUCUGAUGAAUUGAACUUAAACCUCUCCGUUCAGUCAAUGGUAACGCCACAAAAAUAGAAGUUUCCUGCUAAUUUUUUCUUACGUCAUCAAAUCUUUAAUACGAUUAAAAUCCCAAUUCUAUAUCUGCAUCUGUGUUUGUGUGUGGCACUCGUGCUUUAUGCCUGUAGCGUUUUAGCCAGAGGUUAUACACUGGUGGUAGAGGCUGCUAUAUUAAGUGGCCAUCAGUGUCAACUCAUCCAGUUAACACUCAGUCACACCAGCUAUGCCACUGGGAGCAAUUAGAUUUCAAUGUUCUGCCUAGGGAUACGACUGCAAGUGGAUUAAGGGAGCCGGGAUCGUACCACCAACCCUCCACGAGAUCUCAGGAUAGAUUAUUUUACCGUUUUUGAAAAUAUGUUGUAAAGUCGGCGAAAGAGCGGUACGUCCUCAGGCUAGCUAAAGGUUACCAUGAUAUGUCUCGCUGUAAUGAGCGCGCUGAGAGCGAGGCAUGAGUGUGAAAACGUGCCUUUACAUCAGGACAUCUGCAUGGUGAAGUCCUGGAGGGCGAGCCCAACACACACACACACACACACACACACACACACACACACACACACACACACAGAGCUCCUGCCUCCUGCAAUGAAAUUACCGCCUUUAUCAGAAUGUAAUGACUGUUAUUGAGCUGUCUCCCCUCGCACACUGUCACACAGCCACAGGAAAUGGCAGCAAGUCUAUUUUCAGGCCGCCGACAGAUGACAGCUCUCAGGUUAGACCCAACACUGCUAAAGCAUCACAUACUGCAGUUACUAGAACAACCACUAGGGGGGCUGCUCCGAAAAUGAGCCAAUCCCACUUGGGUUUCUUGUUAAAAUGUUAAACUUUGUACACAGCUGCUGCCAAAGUGGACAGACACAAAAUAAAACAUCCGGCUUCUUUUCAAAAUAAAACACUCAGGAGGAUCGUAUUUCACACCAUGCAAACGGGCGGAGACGAACAAGUGAAAGGUUUUUAGACGUCAUUUCACCCUGAUGACACCAUGGAUGAGGAGAUGCUGAUUCUAGAAGUCUAGAAGUAGAUUUCCUCCUCUGGAAGGACACAAUCUACUGCUUAUAUGGUUAGCCUCUGUGGCUAAAGACAACUUUGAUGGAAAAAUCUAUAAAAAAGUUAUCAUGCUUUAGAUGAUUCUAUAUGAUUAAUAUGUGAUUUAAUUCUUUCAGAUGGAUUUCAGUAUGAUUUGAAUCGUUGAAGAAUGAUCUUAAACUCUUAAUCUUUUAGUUCUGCAGAAGGGGAUAUGAAAGUGUUGAACUCUGUACCAUGUGUUGUGCAAAGAUGUGAAAACACCUAUGUUCCUUAAAAAUAAUGCCAUACAUAUGCAAAAAAUUAUGAAAAUAAUCAUGUUCCUCUUUUGUAAAGGUCAACCGAAAGUAUUGCAAAAGUGACCGUUGCUGAGGUAGCAGAUAUGGAUGACUAUGCAUAAUCAUGAAAUAAAAGAGUGCUGUUGGAGAGGAACUGGCAGAGAGGGACUGACCGAGUACUCGAGAAGUUCUCCUCAGCCAUUCUCUCCUUGUGCAAGUAAAACGUCUUUUGGUCUCUUCUGUGUUCCUGAAUCCUCCGAGUUUGUUAAAUAUGUCCACUUGAACCUGACAAACUUGUUAUCGCGUGAUUGCACGUGAAUCUGCAGGUUCUUGUGAGUUCUCACAGUUCCUGCUGUCCAUAAUUCACCAAGAAAUUUACCUCACAAACAGAUCCGUUAAGAAUUGGCGUAAAAUCGCCACUGUUACAGAUUUAAGCCAUUCCGAAUGUGGUGGAAAUCCAGGGUCUACCUUGGGUAGUGAAUCCAAAAACACCAUUAGCUUCACAAAUCCUCCAUCGAUCUUUACAUCUAAAGUUAAAAUCUGUUUUUCUCGCAGUUCAAACACCAAGACCUGUUAAUGAUGAUCUUCAACCGCCUCUCUGUUUCCUCUCUCUGUUUCCUCUCUCUGUUUCCUCUCUCAGUUUCGGUCCUGCUGUUGGUAAAGGUUACUGUCUUCACAGGCAGAGCGUUGAGGGAUGAACUCUGAGGGUUUUUUUUUUAGGAGGGACGUGGGCUGCAGUUUAUUUGAAAUGUAGAUUCUGCG